ACACGCACACACACACACACACACACACACACACACACACCAUUACCUCUGCUUUACCAUGUUAUUAGACAUUGGUUUAACUCCAUUUAAGCAUUUAAACGUUAAAAGCAUUGCACUUGUACGACGUUGUAAUACUUUUUUUUUACCAGCCGAUGACGACGAAGUGAAAGACGAUGAACUUUGCUUAAACAGUCUUACAAAGUUGGAAGAUGAUUAUCGAGGUGUGUUUAAACCUUCGAAUUAUUUAAUAUUGUGUGUAUUCAUUAUUUUGUUUUAUAGAGGAUUUGCCGUAAGAUCCUAACGCGAUCGUUUUAACACAAUCGCAGUCUGGUGAGUCAAAUGAUUCUCAUUUUACAAGAAAAAAAACAUGCGGUAUACGAUACAUAUAUACAUAUAUUUACUUACAUCUCCGGCUCGCUGGUCUCCCUUAAAGCUGGCGGGUCCGUCAACGGCCGUUCCAGGCAGAGGAGAAGGCUUGAUUGUGCCAAAGACUCCAGACAUCGAAUCCUUGCUCCGAGGGGAAAUCAUCGAAAACGACGGUGAAUGUCCAACAGGCACCCGCUAUUGGUAACACUGGACAAGUCGGAUAUCCUUGCUUGGAUCCUUUUAAAGUUGCCCGAUAAACUGCUGAGAGUUGAUCUCUCCUCUUGUCCAAAGGUUUUUCGUUCAUUUUUACUUGUAAUACUGGCACUAGGGUUGAUGUAGUAGCUCCACAACAUAACCUUAAAGCCUGUGACUGGAUCCGGUCUAUUUUCCCAAGUCAUGUUUUUGAAGCAGAUUGGUAAAUAAUGCAUCCGUAAUCAAUAACAGAUGGAAUUAAAGUUAUAAA